rnacentral:rRNA from 1 species
AGCGAACGCUGGCGGCAGGCCUAACACAUGCAAGUCGAACGAAGUCUUCGGACUUAGUGGCGGACGGGUGAGUAACACGUGGGAACGUGCCUUUAGGUUCGGAAUAACUCAGGGAAACUUGUGCUAAUACCGAAUGUGCCCUUCGGGGGAAAGAUUUAUCGCCUUUAGAGCGGCCCGCGUCUGAUUAGCUAGUUGGUGAGGUAAAGGCUCACCAAGGCGACGAUCAGUAGCUGGUCUGAGAGGAUGAUCAGCCACAUUGGGACUGAGACACGGCCCAAACUCCUACGGGAGGCAGCAGUGGGGAAUCUUGCGCAAUGGGCGAAAGCCUGACGCAGCCAUGCCGCGUGAAUGAUGAAGGUCUUAGGAUUGUAAAAUUCUUUCACCGGGGACGAUAAUGACGGUACCCGGGGAAGAAGCCCCGGCUAACUUCGUGCCAGCCGCCGCAGUAACAC